CAACUGUGUUCAUACUUGGCAACAAGGUCAAGGGCGUGAUGAGGCCAAAUCCUCUAUCUUUCUGCCAUUUUGCUAACAGCAUCAAGAGAGUCAGCUACUAAGAAAAAGACCAAAGAAAGCCAUGGUGCCACCCAGUCCUGGGAAGAUGGAACACAGGGUAUGUUGUUAUAAGAGGCUCUUGAAAUGACUGUCUGCUGCUGGAUCACUUGAACUUGAUCAGUCAUAUGAAAAAACAGGAAUCAUCAACAGAACUGCGCACUGAGCCCAGGAAGGAAAUGUGAGGUCAUUUUGUGGAAGUACUUGAUAAUGGAUUUCUGUUCCCUGGACACAAAGAGAAAAUUGGAGAAGUGCUAAUAGGAUUCACGGGCUGGCUAUAAAUAAUGACUCAGAUCAUUUCUACCUUGUUACCAUCAUGGAGCAAACCCAGGAUGUUGGCACUGGAUUGAGUGGGCCAUAAGACCUGACUUCCUUCCUUAUAACCAUGGCCUCUAGAACUGAAAGACAAAGGAUGGCAUCCUGGACUGAAUGAAAAGGAGGAAGCAAUCUGAGCACCAGCAUUUGACCCCUGACACAAAGUGACAAGCUAGCUUGAGCUCCUGCCAAGGUGGCUUCCCCACCACGGCGGACUCUACCCUGGGACCGAAAGUCCGAAGAAACACUUCCUUCCUAAGUUGGGUUUGCAGUACAGUGUCCAUCACAUCUACUCCUACAUUAAACAAAUCACUAUCCUGGCUAUGGAGCAGCAAGAAAAGAGUGGGAAGAUAUGUUCCCAGAAACUCUGCUUCCUACCCUCCUUCCCAGGACCACUUCAGAGCCCUUGGUCCAAUGAUGCUGCAGUUUUUCUGUCCAGAUCACAUCUUGGAUGUGGAUGCCUUCCCUGAAGGAAAUGCUGCAUCCUCUCCAGAGAGUGUUCCUCUAAUGCUGUAGUAUGACCUCCAGCAAAGCAACAAGACAUGGUGGACAUAGAGUGCAGCCCCGCAGUGCCCUGUUCAAACCAGCUCCUUGCCCUUGACAGUGUAGGAUCCAUUUACAGAGGCAUGGACAGAGUGCAGCACGCACUUAGGUUUCUUCCCAGCCCCGAGUCCUUGGAUACCGAGUGGAAGGAAGUCUCCCACCCACACAUCGAGAAUCCAGUUCAUCCAGAUGCCGGAGCGGGUCUUUUGCUCUAAGUCUAUGAAGAUGAUUGAGCUUGGCGCAGUCGGGUGCCCAUUUCCUUUAACGGCGGAGCAGCGCUUACGCAAUCAAAGAGAAGAGGAUCAUCUGUCGUAGUCUAUGAACUCACAAAUGCCCUGCAUUUGACCACCCUCCUGGCAGCUUCACUUCAAAUGCUCUGGGGUGGGGUAGGGGGUGGGGGGCUCUUUCCUCAGAGCACCCACCCCCGGUCACACACACAGAACCAUCUUAGAACCCGGAAGUCCAGGCAAGGGAUGGUGUCUGUGUGGCUAUGAGAGGCAGAUUUUCUUUUUUUCAAGAACACUUGUGAAGGGCGUGGGGAGCCAACUAAAAUUAAUGAACUUUUCCUGCCAAAAAGAGCUAGGCUCCAAAUUCGGUCAUAUGUUGCCAAAUAGACAGUGUGAAUGAAGUCAGCCUGCGAAGAAAAUACGAACAUUCCAGAGGAGCAGGAGCUGGAGACAGGCUGUCCCCAACUUCAGCACACUGAUCUAACAAUAUCCCCCACCCGAGGAGAAUAAGCCCAGACCUGUAGCUGAUUCAUUCAGAGGACAGUUCCUCUAAACACUGCCACUGAUCACUUCGCAGCCUCUUGCUAAUUCCCACCUCCCUCUAGGAGUCCCUUUGUUACCUGGUCUCAUCCUCUGGAUCCUCUAUGCUGAGAAGAGGCCCUUGCCUUCCCUGACCCAGCCCACGGUCAGCGAAUACAGGAUCCACAACAGCGAAGAAAGGCCGAAUCUCACAAAGAGCCUCUCUGACCUUGGGACUUGCUACCUCCUGUUCUACCCUAUACACCAGAAUCUGGGCUCCAAAAGAAGCUGAAGUCAUUGCCCACAUGGCACUCCUGGGU